rnacentral:tRNA from 1 species
GGAGAUAUAGCUCAGCAGUUAAGAGCUCUGGCUUCUCUUCCAGAAGAUCAGGGUUCAAUUUCCUGAUUACCU